GGUGGGCACGGGAUCCGGCUCUUCUGCGAGGUGAAAAGUCUGUUGGAGGAAUUUCUGCAGAAAGCAUUCUCUUUACCUAGAAAGGGACUCUUCUUCCCCAGUCUGAGGAUGAAGCCCACUCCAGGAAAGUGUGAGACCCUAGAUUCUUCAUGUCAUUGUCAGGCUGGCCGAAGUCCUGCAACAUACUCUGCUCUGGGCCUUCUGUUACGUGGCAUGCAAGAGAAGACCAUGAUGGAUUUGAAUGACUGUUGAAUUGGGAUUUGAAGACCUGGCCACUAAUCCCAAAUAUCUCCUUCUCCAUGUGUAAGAAACAUGAACUGACAGGAGCUGGAUGCUGCUGGUGUUUCUGGAGAGGUGGCCACUGGACAGUUACAGGUGUACAACAUAGAGUUUCUACAAUUCUGUGCAUUGCUCAGCGGUCAUCAUGGACUUCUUAGAGACUUUGGAAAUGGGCACAGUUGAAUAUUUAUGGAAAUGACAUGGCACACAAUAGCCCCUUAGCGAUGAUCAUCCCCAACGUCUGCGUGGUGGAUAAAGAUGGCCAUCAAUUCCUCACCAAGCCUCCCGUUACCAGGAUCACCCCUUGCAACUUGACCUUCACGCUGAUGAAGUCGGAGCAGCCUCAAGGAAACACCUAUGUGGAUGAAAACUUAGCCAGCCAUGGGAUUGAGGCCACUUUGGACCUUCCAGCCCAUUCAGCACCCCGACCAAUACCUCAGGAAGAGGAAGAAACUUCUAGCCAAUCAACGGAAUUGGGAGAAAUAAUAAGCUGUUGCUAUUUUAAGACACUGAAUUUUGGGGCGCCUGGGUGGCACAGCGGUUGAGCGUCUGCCUUCGGCUCAGGGCGUGAUCCCGGUGUUAUGGGAUCGAGCCCCACGUCAGGCUCCUCUGCUGUG